rnacentral:rRNA from 1 species
UACGUAGGGUGCAAGCGUUGUCCGGAAUUAUUGGGCGUAAAGAGCUCGUAGGCGGUCUGUCGCGUCUGCCGUGAAAACUCAGGGCUUAACCCUGAGCUUGCAGUGGGUACGGGCAGACUAGAGUGCGGUAGGGGGAGACUGGAAUUCCUGGUGUAGCGGUGAAAAUGCGCAGAUAUCAGGAGGAACACCGAUGGCGAAGGCAGGUCUCUGGGCCACUACUGACGCUGAGAAGCGAAAGCAUGGGGAGCGAACAGG